GAGGGUAUAGCUCAGUGGUAGAGCAGUGCUUAGCAUACACAACGUCCUGGGUUCAAUCCCAGUACCUCCU
rnacentral:tRNA from 1 species